rnacentral:rRNA from 1 species
UACGGAGGGUGCAAGCGUUGUUCGGAAUCACUGGGCGUAAAGGGCGCGCAGGCGGUUUGGUAAGUCAGAUGUGAAAGCCCACGGCUCAACCGUGGAAGUGCAUUUGAAACUGUCAGACUUGAGUACUAGAGGGGAAAGUGGAAUUCCCGGUGUAGAGGUGAAAUUCGUAGAUAUCGGGAGGAAUACCGGUGGCGAAGGCGACUUUCUGGCUAGAUACUGACGCUGAGGCGCGAAAGCGUGGGGAGCAAACAGGAUUAGAAACCCUAGUAGUCC